rnacentral:rRNA from 1 species
UGGGGAAUUUUGGACAAUGGGCGAAAGCCUGAUCCAGCAAUGCCGCGUGUGUGAAGAAGGCCUUCGGGUUGUAAAGCACUUUUGUCCGGAAAGAAAUCCUUGGCUCUAAUACAGUCGGGGGAUGACGGUACCGGAAGAAUAAGCACCGGCUAACUACGUGCCAGCAGCCGCGGUAAUACGUAGGGUGCAAGCGUUAAUCGGAAUUACUGGGCGUAAAGCGUGCGCAGGCGGUUUGCUAAGACCGAUGUGAAAUCCCCGGGCUCAACCUGGGAACUGCAUUGGUGACUGGCAGGCUAGAGUAUGGCAGAGGGGGGUAGAAUUCCACGUGUAGCAGUGAAAUGCGUAGAGAUGUGGAGGAAUACCGAUGGCGAAGGCAGCCCCCUGGGCCAAUACUGACGCUCAUGCACGAAAGCGUGGGGAGCAAACAGGAUUAGAUACCCUGGUAGUCCACGCCCUAAACGAUGUCAACUAGUUGUUGGGGAUUCAUUUCAUUAGUAACGUAGCUAACGCGUGAAGUUGACCGCCUGGGGAGUACGGUCGCAAGAUUAAAACUUAAAUGAAUUGACGGGGUCAUAGCUGUUUCCU